rnacentral:rRNA from 1 species
UUGUCUCAAAGAUUAAGCCAUGCAUGUCUAAGUAUAAGCAAUUAUACAGCGAAACUGCGAAUGGCUCAUUAUAUAAGUUAUCGUUUAUUUGAUAGUACCUUACUACUUGGAUAACCGUGGUAAUUCUAGAGCUAAUACAUGCUAAAAAUCCCGACUUCGGAAGGGAUGUAUUUAUUAGAUUAAAAACCAAUGCCCUCUGGGCUCUCUGGUGAUUCAUGAUAACUUCUCGAAUCGCAUGGCCUUGCGCCGGCGAUGGUUCAUUCAAAUUUCUUCCCUAUCAACUUUCGAUGUUUGGGUAGUGGCCAAACAUGGUUGCAACGGGUAACGGAGGGUUAGGGCUCGACCCCGGAGAAGGAGCCUGAGAAACGGCUACUACAUCCAAGGAAGGCAGCAGGCGCGCAAAUUACCCAAUCCCGAUUCGGGGAGGUAGUGACAAUAAAUACUGAUACAGGGCUCUUUUGGGUCUUGUAAUUGGAAUGAGUACAAUUUAAAUCCCUUAACGAGGAACAAUUGGAGGGCAAGUCUGGUGCCAGCAGCCGCGGUAAUUCCAGCUCCAAUAGCGUAUAUUAAAGUUGUUGUGGUUAAAAAGCUCGUAGUUGAACCUUGGGCCUGGUUGGCCGGUCCGCCUCACCGCGUGUACUGGUCCGGCCGGGCCUUUCCCUCUGUGGAACCCCAUGCCCUUCACUGGGUGUGGCGGGGAAACAGGACUUUUACUUUGAAAAAAUUAGAGUGCUCCAGGCAGGCCUAUGCUCGAAUACAUUAGCAUGGAAUAAUAAAAUAGGACGUGCGGUUCUAUUUUGUUGGUUUCUAGGACCGCCGUAAUGAUUAAUAGGGACAGUCGGGGGCAUCAGUAUUCAAUUGUCAGAGGUGAAAUUCUUGGAUUUAUUGAAGACUAACUACUGCGAAAGCAUUUGCCAAGGAUGUUUUCAUUAAUCAGGAACGAAAGUUAGGGGAUCGAAGACGAUCAGAUACCGUCGUAGUCUUAACCAUAAACUAUGCCGACUAGGGAUCGGACGAUGUUAUUUUUUGACUCGUUCGGCACCUUACGAGAAAUCAAAGUGCU